rnacentral:rRNA from 1 species
UACGUAGGGUGCAAGCGUUGUCCGGAAUUAUUGGGCGUAAAGAGCUCGUAGGCGGUUUGUCGCGUCUGCCGUGAAAGUCCGGGGCUCAACUCCGGAUACUGGCAGUGGAUACGGACAGACUAGAGGUAGGUAGGGGAGAAUGGAAUUCCCGGUGUAGCGGUGAAAUGCGCAGAUAAUCAGGAGGAACACCGGUGGCGAAGGCGGGUCUCUGGGCCGAUACUGACGCUGAGGAGCGAAAGCAUGGGUAGCGAACAGG